GGUGUCCUGCCACAAUGGGUCAUUGCAGUUUGCAUCUUGGAACUUUGCACCAUGGAAGGAUAGAAGCCUAUAUCUGUUGGUGACUGCUUGUGUGGUGUGGUUCUUGGGAGUCGCAUUCUCCGGAAACAGACUGCAAAGGAGGCAGUUUACAAUGCUUUGCAGAGAUUGCAGAUUCAAAACUAAUAGUGACAAAGUACCGUGAGGGAAGGGUGAAAAGGACUUUGAGAAGAGGGUUAAGAGUACUUGAAUCUGCUGAAUUGGAGGAGAAAUUGGUGUAAUGCUUAAAGCAAGGUUGCUGCCAAUGUCAUGCUGUGCACCCAAGAAUGUGUUGUGCAGUGAUGCCCUGUCUGCAGUGAUCCAUGUUUUUGUGCCCAAGUAGCACACCACCUCAGAAUUGUUCUGAAAAGUUGCUCUGCCCCUUGCUUGGCAUCUUCCAGAGACGUCUGGGCUGUGGUGCCCACAGCAAGCCUUUGAACUUAUCUCUUGUGGCAAGUGCAUAUUCACCCCGUCUUGAAACACGGACCAAGGAGGUUAGCCCACAUGCAAGCCUUGAGUGAACACCACUUUCAGCAUAGUGAAGAUAUUCUUUUGGAAACCUGCAUGAAUGACCAAUGGCUUCUUGAGCUAUUUGAGCCUAAGUGUGUGUGCUAGUACCCGAAAGGUGGUGAACUAUGCUUGCGUUGUGCAAAGCCAGGGGAAACUCUGGUGGAGGUUCAUGGUGAUAUUGACGUGCAAAUCGUUCGUUGGACAUGAGUAUAGGGGCGAAAGACUCAUCGAACCACCUAGUAGCUGGUUCCCUCCGAAGUUUCCCUCAGGAUAGCUGGAGGUGUGUAUUUGCGCCUGGUAAAGUUAAUGUUUUGAGGUCUCAGGGAGGGUACAUCCUUGACCUACUCCCAAACUUUCAACAGGCACAAGCAUUGCCUUGCUUAAUGGAAGUGCUCUCUCAGAAUAUUUCCUCAAAGUGGACCACUUUUGGUAAGCAGGACUGGUGAUGAGGGAUGAACUUAGCAAGAGGCUAUGGUGUCAGAGUCUUUGCUCAUUUGAUCCCACAAAGGGUGCUGGUUCAUAUAGACAGCAGGACGGUGGUCAUGGAAGUCGAAAUCCGCUGAGGAGUGUGUAACAACUCACCUGCCGAAUGGACUAGCCCCGAAAAUGGAUGGCGCUGAAGCAUGUGCCCAAUGUCUUUUCACAUGUGUGGCCCAUUGCAAAGUGAGUAGG
rnacentral:rRNA from 1 species